UAGCCGUAAACGAUACUCGCUAGGUGUCGGCCACGGUGCGACCGUUGUCGGUGCCGUAGGGAAGCCGUGAAGCGAGCCACCUGGGAAGUACGGCCGCAAGGCUGAAACUUAAAGGAAUUGGCGGGGAGCACCACAACGGGUGGAGCCUGCGGUUUAAUUAGACUCAACGCCGGGAAGCUCACCGGAUAAGACAGCGGAAUGAUUGCCGGGCUGAAGACCCUGCAUGACCAGCUGAGAGGAGGUGCAUGGCGUAGUCGUGU
rnacentral:rRNA from 1 species